CCUCUUCUCCUCUCUCGCGAGUCGCGCCUCUUCCCUUCUCUCUGCAGAUCUGCCUCCAUCGCUGUUCACAGGAUUCAUCAAGAGAAUGUGGUAGGAUGGUAUCACUCUCAUCCUGGUUAUGGAUGUUGGCUUUCCGGUAUCGAUGUCACCACACAAAUGCUAAACCAGCAAUACCAAGAGCCCUUCCUUGCAGUUGUUAUUGAUCCGACAAGGACUAUAUCGGUGCUUUCAGGACGUAUCCAGAAGGGUAUAAACCCCCAGAUGAGCAGGUCUUUGAAUAGAAGACUUUGGUGUGCAAUGUAAACAGGUGAAAACGCAUUUGUGUCUGGACAAGGAUACAAGGAUACUUUUGCUUCUUUGAUGAUGGAAAAACAACAUAAAUUCUAGGCAAAAACAAGGAUACUUUUGCCUCAAAACAAGGAAGCUUUAUUUCUGUUAAUAAUUUGAACUACAUUUGAUGGGAAACAAAGCCUCUUACCUAGAGUGGAUGAUGAGAUUCAAACUAGAGUUACUCAACAAGGUGAUGAUCAUAAUGAGGGGGAAGAGACUCAACCAACUUUGCUGGGUGAUUAUCAUAAUGCGGAAGAGGCUCAACACUAGGAUCGAAUUAUAGUUGUUCAAAUUACUAGUGAGUAGACUAGAUUUAGGGAUAGUCUAGCCGAAGCUAUGUUUCUUCAUUAUCAAAAUAGGCGUAACUUUUAGUGUCGUGCUUAUGAAACUAAAUAUGUAAUAGAAUUGGUUUUGUGGUA